ACAAUGGAGAGUUUGAUCCUGGCUCAGGAUGAACGCUAGCGGCAGGCUUAAUACAUGCAAGUCGAGGGGCA
rnacentral:rRNA from 1 species